rnacentral:lncRNA from 1 species
UACUGGGUUGCCACUACAUACUGCUAGGUGUCAUUGAUAGAUUGUGAGAGCUUACUAGGGUUGCUCAGGAUCGACCAUCCUUUAUGAGUUAGAAUGAAAUCAUUCCGACCCAUUGUAAAGAGUUUUAAUGAUACUAUGAUAGAAAUUAUUGUAUAUCUCACUAACAGAUAGAAUUAAAUCUAUGAGAUCAUAUAACAAAGGGAUU